rnacentral:tRNA from 1 species
UCUAAGAGUCAUUUUUUGAGUUCCUUUGAACUUAAGAAAUUUUUAACUUAGUAAUUAUAUGUGGCUUACCGUCCUCGUUUCUCUUUCAUUGUUUAAAACUAUAAAGCCUACGUUUGGGCUUGUAGCUCAGUCUGGUUAGAGCGCACCCCUGAUAAGGGUGAGGUCGGUAGUUCGAGUCUACCCAGGCCCACCAUGACGUGGUUUCUCUUGGGGCUGUAGCUCAGCUGGGAGAGCACCUGCUUUGCAAGCAGGGGGUCACCGGUUCGAUCCCGGUCAGCUCCACCAAAGUUUUAAGCUUUUCCAUUUACAUCGUGAAGUGACAUCAAUACUAAAUUAAUAAAAUUUUUAUUGAGAAUUCAAAAUAUCUAAGUAUUGCAAAAGACAUAUAAGUUUGUUUUUUGUACAUAGAAUAAU